rnacentral:rRNA from 1 species
UAACACGUGAGCAACCUGCCUUUCAGAGGGGGAUAACAGUUGGAAACGACUGCUAAUACCGCAUGACAUUAGGGGGAGGGCAUCCUCUUCUAAUCAAAGGAGCAAUCCGCUGAAAGAUGGGCUCGCGGCCGAUUAGCUAGAUGGCGGGGUAGAGGCCCACCAUGGCGACGAUCGGUAGCCGGACUGAGAGGUUGAACGGCCACAUUGGGACUGAGACACGGCCCAGACUCCUACGGAAGGCAGCAG